rnacentral:rRNA from 1 species
ACGUGGGCAACCUGCCCUGCAGAUCGGGAUAACUCCGGGAAACCGGUGCUAAUACCGAAUAGUUUUUGCCCCUCCUGGGCGGAACGGAAAGACGGUUUCGGCUGUCACUGCAGGAUGGGCCCGCGGCGCAUUAGCUAGUUGGUGGGGUAAUGGCCCACCAAGGCGACGAUGCGUAGCCGACCUGAGAGGGUGAUCGGCCACACUGGGACUGAGACACGGCCCAGACUCCUACGGGAGGCAGCAGUGGGGAAUCUUGGACAAUGGGGGCAACCCUGAUCCAGCCAUGCCGCGUGAGUGAUG